CACGGAAGCGGAAGUAGGAGGACGGGCGAGCCAGGUUCCUAGGAGGCCGACGCUUGAGUCUUGAGUUUCUGCUGGGGCUUCCGCACCUGGAACGCCGCGAGGAGCCUGUCACCUAGGAGCUUAAGCUUUCCACCGGAGGGGAGAAGCUGUGCGCUUUCUGAGCACCCUUGAUGUGUAACUGCAGAGACUGACCUUUAAACUAGCCAUUUGACCUUGCAUCCUGCACGCUUUUUUUUUCUCUGAGCUUUACCCUGCAGCCGGUAGGCACCGCGAUCGCUGCGGUUCCGUGCUCUUUCCCUACUCAUGGGGCCUCUGGCUUUUUUGUUUUGUCCCCCACAACACACACCUCGCAGUGUGUCAUAUGUAACUACUCAGAACAGCUCCAGAUGCCUGUAACUCUAAUUCUCAGUGUUUACUUUCACAGGCAUCAUGAGUAAUGCUUAACGCCGUGUGCUUUUUCAAUUUUUCUCUAUUGUGGGAGCUUGAGGAUCAAACUCGAGUAAUCAGGGUUGUUGGGAAGUACCUUUACUGUCUGAGCCCUUUCAGUGGCCCUUGGAUCAUUAAGAUGCAGAACUCUGAGUUACUUCUCCAGCACCAGGUCUACCUGUGAACCACUAUGCUCCCUGCCAAGAUGAUCAUGGACCAAGCUUCUGAGACUCAGCUCCCUACGUAGAUCUGGCUGUCCAGGAACUCAAGUGCUGGGAUUAAAGGCGUGCGCUACUCCACCUUGCUUCUGAAGGGCUUUUCACCUGGAGAAGAGCUACUUGGAUGUCACAAGUAGCAAGAAGUGGAAUAAGCAAAGACAAACAAUUGGUUGGAAUGUCAGGCUGGAAGUUGAAAGAGCUCCAGCUGUAGUACAGUCAGAGGCAAAGGGAAGAUGGAUGUCCAGAAGUUACACUCAACGGAUGACUAGUUGGGAUUGGAUGGAGUAUAAAGAUGUGCUAUGGAAUGAUCCUUCUCUACACUGUGAAUGUGUGUGUUGCUGUCAUUGGUUGAUAAUAAAGCUGUUUUGGUCUAUGGCAAGGCAGGAUAAAGUUAGACAGUACAAUCAAACUGAGGACUGGGAUGAAGAAGGGCAGAGUUGAGACUCAAGCCAGCCGCCCAAGGAACAAGAUGCCAGAGGAUAAACCAUGGACCAUGUGGCAAUAAAUAGAUGAAUAGAAAUGGGUUAAUUUAAAUGUAAGAGCUAGUUAGUAAUAAGCCUGAGCCAUCGGCCAUGCAUUUAUAAUUAA